GCGCGGUCCCACGGGGCGCGCGCCACUCCCGUCCCGGGCGCGCUCCGGUGGCGCGGAGGAGACGCCGCCCGCGAGGACGGGCCCGAACGGCCCCCGCGGCCUCUCCUCACCUCCGUGCCCGCAGACCUGGAAAACCAGAUUUGCCAGGCUCGGAGGAUUUCACGUCGGAGAGAUAAAGGCAAUGUCAGAGAUGCGAGCAGUGGUCAGAGAGCUCGGGAGGACGCUAGAUUUCAGGAGAGAGGAAGAGGGAGAACACGGCACAUAAAAUUCCAAAGGGGGGAAUAGGUCAAGAACUGUCAAUCAUUCCUCCAUUCCCAGAAAAGUACUGAAGCAGAUGAUCACACAUCUUUAAGUACAUGGUAGCUAAUGAAGUGAUAAGCUACAGCCAAGAUGGAUUUGUCAAGAAAAUCACAUCAAGCCACGUUCAUCCCAUGCUGUGACAGUGUAACAGGCCCUGGAUAUGAGUAGCCCUCGAUCUGUUACGGCUUGACUUGAGUAAGGUUUUUGACACUAUCUCAGAGAACUCUUAACUGAGCAACCAAAAGACAUAACAUACUGAAAUGACUGCAGUGGUACAAAAUUACAUCAGCAAUGCUUCCCUCUGACAAAUAGUGGGAAUAGCAAAUUCCCUGGAGGUGGGCAUGUCCUGAGUUUGGUACCAAGUCUAAUUAUAUGACUGGCAGAGUACAGUUUACAUGGAUUGGAUUUGCCAGCAAUGCCAAAUGGCAGAGCUGGAAGUAUGUUGCAGUGCAAGAAAAAUUCAAAAUACUCUUGAAAAAGUGGUUGUAGAAAUAGGAUGCAAUUGAAUAAAUACAAGUGCAAACUUCAACAUUUAAGCAGGAAAAUAACAACUGCACAAUUGCAAGACUGGGAACACAUGAAUAGACACUGGGUUUACAGAAAAGGGGUUGGGGAUCAGAGUAAAUCACAAACUGAACACGCAUCAACAAUGUCACACUGUUGUGAAAAAAGCUGCAGAACAGAGAGAUGUGUAAACAGAACUGUCAUAUCUAGGACAUAUAAAGAAUUUCUCAUAUUUAAUACUGGUAAAGGCUCAUCUCUAUGUUCAGAUUUGGUCUCUGCAUUUCAAGAAAAAUUUCUUUCAAAAAAGUCCAAUAGAACACAGUACAAGGAAGGAGGGAAAAAUCAACAUUUUUAAAAGAUGUGACCCUAACUGAAAAUAGGGAUGUGUCUAGUGAAUAAAAGACUAUGGGGAGAAAAAUACAUUUUCCACUGAGUCCAUUGAAGACAGGGCAAAACUUAACAGUUUCAAACUGUACUGAAAGAAAUUUCAGUUAGACAGUCAUGGAUAAAUAAAACUGGCAUAUAUUCUUUAUAGGGUUCUGGAAACGUUAUUAGCAUCUUUUUUAAAAGAUAAGAAAAAUUUACAUAAGAAAAAUUUAGAAGCAUUUGACUUUGCUGUGAAGUAAUGGAGACAGACUAGGUAAUAAUUGUUUUCAGCAUAAUUUCCUGUAACUGUAGUUACUAUCCAGAUAUCUGUUCUGAUCCUAUUUUUUUUUCUGAUAAAAGUGAAUCCCAGAGACAUUUCAACAUCUAAUGUGUUGUUGUGAUCUUAUGCACAGGUGUAGAUAUCCCCUUUGGGAGUCUUUGUCAUGUUACAUUGAGUAUAGCUGUGUGCCAACAUAUGUCACAUGCUCAGCUAAUUUGCUAAUUUAUAAACUUUAUAUAUCACGAUAAAUUCCACAUUUAAAAAUAAUGUGUUUGUUAGUGCUCACAUAACCAGUGUGUAUUGAGGCUUUUGCUUUUAUUUGCUUUUUUUUUCAUGGUACCAGAGACUAAUUUUCCCCAGAAUCCAUUAAAUUUGGGGGGUUCUCUGGAGCUUGCCAGUUAGGAGAAAGCAGUGUGAAUGGUUUAUGUUGUGGGACUGAGACCUACCAAACUCAACUCAUUAGAGAUGACUAAAAGGCCAUUAAAUAGGCCAGUUUUUAAUCUCCACUGAGUUAGACUGAAUUCAAACUGAUAGCCCACAGGCAAAAGGCUAUGAAUUUCAUUAACAGUACCCUAAAGCACUCAGUCCCCUAAUGAGUGCUAAUAUUAUUCUUCUGAGAGUUAAGCUUGUUUUCUGAAAACAUACAUUUAUAAAAUCGAGUUCUGAUAUUUUAGAGCAUGUAUGGACAGUUUUUCCACUGCUUUUAAACACAAGAAACAUGAUCAUCUUGUGCAAUCCACGGACUUCUUGUAAGAUUCUCAGUCAUAUGUGCUCCGUGCUAACUAAAGUACAAACAAUAAAAACAUGAAAAAGCAAAUAUUAA